AAAAACAUAACAAAACCAAAACCAAAUCCUCUCUUGACACAAACCCGACCUCAUCACUCCUCUCGAUAGCUAGCGAAACCUCCUCUUCAGUCGCGUCUCACAAAACCAAAACCUAGCUCCUCUUUACUCAUGCCUCACCAAAACCCAAACCAAAAUCAAAUCCAAUUGAAAGCUUGACGAUAGAUAGCCUUAAACCUUAAAUUUCAUCUUUCAUUCUCAUAAACAAUACCCAAUACCCAAAUUGUUGCUGAUGAUGUUCUUCGCCAGUUUCACUUGGAUUUGAAAAUUUUGGGAAUGCUGAAGGAAAUGUCGAGAAAAUUUUUUCCCCAAAUUCAAACCAUAACCUUUUCAAUUUGUGAUUACGGUUUCCGUAAUUCAAUUUUAGUCAUUUAUAGCUCUGAUAUGUGUGUUUCAGGCGUGUUCCGGCGCGAUUCACUGCACUCUCUCCCACUUUCACAAUGGCAGAUUUUACCAAAGAACUCAAACCCCUUUUCGAUUACAAUUGCGUACAGCCUCUCAAUGUCAUCUCCUUUGACGACGACGACGGUGGUGACCUCUUUUCGAUAACUGGAAUCUUUACUAAUUCAAUCAAGGCUUGAAUUGUGUCCAAGUUCGGUAUUUUGAAGCGUUCAAUGUUUCUAUUGUAGAGGAUGAGGUGUCUGCUUCUCCUCCAACCAAGAAGAGGAAGAAGGCUUCAAAUUCAGUAGUUGAAAAGGUUGAUGACAGUGUGAAGUUUGGUUCUUGCUUAAUCCGCCAAGAAUCUAGUGCUUCACCUUGCUGGAUACGACAAUGUAAAGGAUUGAGGUUGGCUACCUGCAUCCAGGAUAGUGGUGUCAAAGAAAUCAAGCCCAAGAGGAGUACAAUCAUGGGUAAAACUAAGAAAGGCUAUCAAGCAUGAAGUUGUUGGGGUGGAGAUUAGUCCUAACCUAUAGGAAUGAGAAAGUCAUCAGGUUUGCUAGGAGAGGAAUAUUAUCAUUGUCAUGCUCACAUCAGGAAUUUAAGAAGGCUGUUAUAUUACGUACUUAUGGCAAGUGAAUCUUGUUGAGUGACUAAAAAUGAUGGUAGGUGCAAGAAGUAUGGAGUAUGAUGAAUGGGCCAAUCAAAGGUAGGCAUGGAAAUUGGAAUCUGCUGCCAUUAUGGAGCCUUCAAUAAAUUUUAUUGUUUCAUCUCACUCUAAAGGGAAGAGAAGAUAUGCAACAUGUGGAUUACCAAAAAGUGUCUUCUUUGCUUCAAGUCUUUGUGAGGAAGCACAUUCUGAAGCUGGAACAAGACAUUGAGUUGCUUAAAGCAGAGGCUAAAAGAAAAGUUGAAUUUAGUUAUGAUGUUAUUGAAGGAACUCCAGAAGAUAUUGAGUGUGUUGAGUCUGGAGCUCCUCAAACUUCAAGCUUCUUAGACUCUAAUGAGGCCAUGAGAGUAGCCAAGCUUGCAAAGCUAGACACUGAAGUAAAUUUCUGGAUGUAUUUUGCUAGGAGAGUACUAUUAGACGUACUCCUUUUGUGGAUAAAAGAUUAGCUUUGCACAAUCUAUUUUGAUGCAUGAUGUAGAUUAUAACAAUUUCUUCUAUAUAUAUAUAUAUUUAUCAGUUACUGUUAA